rnacentral:rRNA from 1 species
GUAGGUGGCAAGCGUUGUCCGGGAAUUAUUGGGGCGUAAAGCGCGCGCAGGCGGUUCUUUAAGUCUGAUGUGAAAGCCCACGGGCUCAACCGUGGAGGGUCAUUGGAAACUGGAGAACUUGAGUACAGAAGAGGAAAGCGGAAUUCCACGUGUAGCGGUGAAAUGCGUAGAGAUGUGGAGGAACACCAGUGGCGAAGGCGGCUUUCUGGUCUGUAACUGGCGCUGAGGCGCGAAAGCGUGGGGAGCAAACAGGAUUAGAUACCCUGGUAGUCCACGCCGUAAACGAUGAGUGCUAAGUGUUAGGGGGUUUCCGCCCCUUAGUGCUGCAGCUAACGCAUUAAGCACUCCGCCUGGGGAGUACGGCCGCAAAGGCUG